rnacentral:rRNA from 1 species
UACGGAGGGUGCAAGCGUUGUCCGGAAUCACUGGGCGUAAAGGGCGCGUAGGCGGCUCGGUAAGUAGGGGGUGAAAUCCUGCGGCUCAACCGCAGGGCUGCCUUCUAAACUGUCGAGCUCGAGCACGGUAGAGGCAGACGGAAUUCCCGGUGUAGCGGUGGAAUGCGUAGAGAUCGGGAAGAACAUCAGUGGCGAAGGCGGUCUGCUGGGCCGUUGCUGACGCUGAGGCGCGACAGCGUGGGGAGCAAACAGG